GAUGAACGCUGGCGGCGUGCCUAAUACAUGCAAGUCGAGCGAACAGACGAGGAGCUUGCUCCUCUGACGUUAGCGGCGGACGGGUGAGUAACACGUGGAUAACCUACCUAUAAGACUGGGAUAACUUCGGGAAACCGGAGCUAAUACCGGAUAAUAUAUUGAACCGCAUGGUUCAAUAGUGAAAGACGGUUUUGCUGUCACUUAUAGAUGGAUCCGCGCCGCAUUAGCUAGUUGGUAAGGUAACGGCUUACCAAGGCAACGAUGCGUAGCCGACCUGAGAGGGUGAUCGGCCACACUGGAACUGAGACACGGUCCAGACUCCUACGGGAGGCAGCAGUAGGGAAUCUUCCGCAAUGGGCGAAAGCCUGACGGAGCAACGCCGCGUGAGUGAUGAAGGUCUUCGGAUCGUAAAACUCUGUUAUUAGGGAAGAACUAAUGUGUAAGUAACUGUGCACGUCUUGACGGUACCUAAUCAGAAAGCCACGGCUAACUACGUG
rnacentral:rRNA from 1 species